ensembl:snoRNA small nucleolar RNA SNORA65
CCCGCCACUGCACCUGACCACUUCUCUGAUGGCUGGUGCAAUGCAGUGGUGGGCUGAAACUAAGGCCCAGUUUAAAAAACACAUUGUUAUUCUUCAUAUGGAUGACUGUGCUGAACGCAUGGGCACAACC